rnacentral:lncRNA from 1 species
CAGAGGUACCAGGCUGCAGCACUGUCACAGAGGUGAUGGAACAUUUCAUCAAGCAGCUGAGGGACAACUUCUCCAAAAGAUUUGAAGACUACAGCAUGCCCAAGAAUAUUGCGUUUGUGUCUCCGGAAGGUGGUGAUUGAGUCCGCUGUCCUGGCGUCGUGAGGGAGCUUGUUCCACCAUUGGGGUGCCAGAGCAGCGAACAGUUUUGACUGGGCUGAGCGGGAACUGUGCUUCCUCAGAGGUAGGGAGGCGAGCAGGCCAGAGGUGGAUGAACGCAGUGCCCUUGUUUGGGUGUAGGGCCUGAUCAGAGCCUGAAGGUACCAUUUCAGUCCGCCCAGGUGGGGAAUUCUCCUCCCUUGCUAAGAAAACAUCGAGCCAAAUCAGGGAUGCGCUCAGUUGUGCUGAGUCCUUGUGUGCGUUUUGGGUGGCAUGCUAAGAGGAAUACAGCACAAUAAAGAUACUUGCCUUUUAUGUGCUAACAAUGUUUGGAUCGACUUACACCUGUGAGUCGUCCUUUUCCUCUAUGAACGCAAUCAAGACUCACGACAGGAACCAGCUUUCACAUAAGUCAAUGGAGGACUGCCUGCGCAUCAAAAUCACAUCCAGCUCACCCGACAUCCACAAGAAUGCAACUUUUCCCAUUAAGAGCAGAUUAUCCCGAGACUCCCGACACAAGGAUUCAGACACAGACAUCGCCUUUUUUUCUUUAAAUUAUUGUUUUAUGUAGGUUGCUACCAUUUUGGCCAUGAUGCAAAUGUAAGUAGGCCUAAUAAAUAAAUACAAAUCCCACUUCUAUUAGGCCAUUUUGUUUUCUUGUGGAAGAUGCUGUUCAGGCACAUAGCCUACCUCAAGUCAGUUAUUUUAUAUGGGCCUUCGCUCGGAAGAAAGACUCCAAUUAAGCCCUCUUGUUGUUUGUAAAGUCAAAUUAAAAUGAAGAUUAUUGUUGAAGUUAAUUACUCGACUGGUGUAGUUUUUCUCCAUCUGUUGCUAGGCAACACUUGCAUAACAAGUUAGCAAUAUUUUCAGCACCAGGCGCUGUUCACCUCCUAUUGAUUGCAGCUUUACAUUUCAGCACCUAAAAAAAAAUGGUCCGCUGCCUGCUUUAUUAGUUGACUGUCUCCUGCAUUCUCUC